AACGAACGCUGGCGGCAUGCCUAACACAUGCAAGUCGAACGAGGCCUUCGGGUCUAGUGGCGCACGGGUGCGUAACGCGUGGGAACCUGCCCUUAGGUUCGGAAUAACUCCCUGAAAGGGGUGCUAAUACCGGAUAAUGUCUUCGGACCAAAGAUUUAUCGCCUUUGGAUGGGCCCGCGUUGGAUUAGCUAGUUGGUAGGGUAAAAGCCUACCAAGGCGACGAUCCAUAGCUGGUCUGAGAGGAUGAUCAGCCACACUGGGACUGAGACACGGCCCAGACUCCUACGGGAGGCAGCAGUGGGGAAUAUUGGACAAUGGGCGAAAGCCUGAUCCAGCAAUGCCGCGUGAGUGAUGAAGGCCUUAGGGUUGUAAAGCUCUUUUACCCGGGAUGAUAAUGACAGUACCGGGAGAAUAAGCGCCGGCUAACUCCGUG
rnacentral:rRNA from 1 species